GACGAACCGUGCUAACGUUAUUCGGAAUCACUGGGCUUAAAGGGUGCGCAGGCGGAUAUGUAAGUCAGUGGUGAAAUCUUCCCGCUUAACGGGAAAACUGCCGUUGAUACUAUAUAUCUUGAAUGCUGUGGAGGUAAGCAGAAUAUGUCAUGUAGCGGUGAAAUGCUUAGAGAUGACAUAGAAUACCUAUUGCGAAGGCAGCUUACUACGCAGAUAUUGACGCUCAUGCACGAAAGCGUGGGGAUCAAACAGG
rnacentral:rRNA from 1 species